CCUGCCCUCAAGCUUGGGACAACUACCGGAAACGGUAGCUAAUACCGAAUAGUUGUUUUCUUCUCCUGAAGAAAACUGGAAAGACGGAGCAAUCUGUCACUUGGGGAUGGGCCUGCGGCGCAUUAGCUAGUUGGUGGGGUAACGGCUCACCAAGGCGACGAUGCGUAGCCGACCUGAGAGGGUGAUCGGCCACACUGGGACUGAGACACGGCCCAGACUCCUACGGGAGGCAGCAGUAGGGAAUCUUCCGCAAUGGGCGAAAGCCUGACGGAGCAAUGCCGCGUGAGUGAUGAAGGUUUUCGGAUCGUAAAGCUCUGUUGCCAGGGAAGAACGCUUGGGAGAGUAACUGCUCUCAAGGUGACGGUACCUGAGAAGAAAGCCCCGGCUAACUACGUGCCAGCAGCCGCGGUAAUACGUAGGGGGCAAGCGUUGUCCGGAAUUAUUGGGCGUAAAGCGCGCGCAGGCGGUCAUUUAAGUCUGGUGUUUAAUCCCGGGGCUCAACCCC
rnacentral:rRNA from 1 species